CAUGCGAAGAAAAAUAUCUGGUUGUAAGGUGAGUCAACAAAGAAAGUUGGCACAAUAUGUACUUCCUAGGGUAUCAGUGUCAGGGAGGGGGAUCACUCAAUGCUGCUUUAGGUGCUCAUUAGUUCGGACAUCCCAGACUCCUAUGGGAGGCAACAUUGAGGAAUUUUCUGCAAUGGGCAAAAGCCUUACAGAGCAAUGUCCUAUGAAGGUAGAGGGUCCAAGGGCCGUGAACUUCUUUUCCCGGAGAAGAAACAAUGACCGUAUCUAGAAAUAAGCAUUAUCUGGAUUGAUUGAGUGUUGAAGCGUCUACAAGUGGAAUUUCAAGUUCACUGCCAAAACUCGGGCUCAACCCUUAACAGGCGAUGGAAACUACCAAGAUGGACUACUAGGAGUAGAGGGACUUCCUGGUGGAGUAGUGAAAUACGUAGAGAUCAGAAAGAACACCAAUGAUGCGAUGAAACUUGUCAUUGACACUGAUAAACGUAAGCUAGGGAAACAAAUGAGAUUAUAUUCUCUAGUAGGCCUAAUGCAUAUCGACCCAUGCAAUGUUGUAGCUAUAAUGUGUCUUGACUCAUAUUCUCCGAUUGAGCUCAAACCUCAACCUAU
rfam:Solanum lycopersicum cultivar Heinz 1706 chromosome 8, whole genome shotgun sequence.